AGUGAACGCUGGCGGUAGGCCUAACACAUGCAAGUCGAACGGCAGCACAGUAAGAGCCUGCUCUUACGGGUGGCGAGUGGCGGACGGGUGAGGAAUACAUCGGAAUCUACUUUUUCGUGGGGGAUAACGUAGGGAAACUUACGCUAAUACCGCAUACGACCUACGGGUGAAAGCAGGGGAUCUUCGGACCUUGCGCGAUUGAAUGAGCCGAUGUCGGAUUAGCUAGUUGGCGGGGUAAAGGCCCACCAAGGCGACGAUCCGUAGCUGGUCUGAGAGGAUGAUCAGCCACACUGGAACUGAGACACGGUCCAGACUCCGACGGGAGGCAGCAGUGGGGAAUAUUGGACAAUGGGCGCAAGCCUGAUCCAGCCAUACCGCGUGGGUGAAGAAGGCCUUCGGGUUGUAAAGCCCUUUUGUUGGGAAAGAAAAGCAGCAGGUUAAUACCCCGCUGUUCUGACGGUACCCAAAGAAUAAGCACCGGCUAACUUCGU
rnacentral:rRNA from 1 species